rnacentral:lncRNA from 1 species
GUUUCCUCUUACUGUUUACCCUCUGGUCCAGAUCUUUCUUAAAAAGCAAUCUGAGUGGCCUGACAGGCUUUCUUAGUUGAGCUAUCUUCCUGAGGUUGUUUGGAGCCGCUGCGUCAUGGAUAAAUAACUCCCUAAAGCCAGUCCCAACAAGCUUGCACUGAACAUCAAGAAGCCUGACAAGUCCUUCAAAUGCAAGAAGCCCACCCAAAAUGUGCUGGUCUUUUUAAUCAACAGACAACUGGGCAGGCACAGAAGCGACAUCAACCUGUCAAGGUGGAUAUGGAUGCUGUCAUAAAGCAACUCCAGGGUGAACAUGGCCUUGGACAAAGAGUCAUGUGGCUUAUGUGCUGAGGCCUGCCCAGAAUUCUGAGAUAUUAAUUAUAAUUAGAACAAUAAACUCCUCCCAUGUUUGAGCUAUUAAAACAGUCUGUCAUUUCACUCCUUUGGAUUGGAUAUGUGUUUGCUGACAGGGCUUACUUGGGUUACACUGGAAGGGGCUUUUGUUCAUCCUAACGCACAGUGCAGGGGUGCUCAGACACGGAGCAGAGAGUGAGAUCAUGCUGCACACCAGAUGUCCCCCACCAUCAAUCUGAAAAACACUGUGAAGUAGUGAUGUAGUACUUGGCAUUCAAAGAGCAAAGACUCUUCUCCCUAGCCAUUUUGGAGAGACAGCCCUGGUGUUCCCCUCUAAAACCUAAUGCUUGUCCUAGUGAAAAGACAUUGUUUAAGAGCAGACCAACAGCUGGGUUGGGAGUGUGGGGUAUGCUUUAACAUUGCAGAUAUCAUGUCCACAGAGCCUACUAGAGGCAAUUGCCCUGCUCAUUGUCCCCAGGAAAGUAGAAUGUCCUGG